GGGCCCGUAGCUCAGUUGGUUAGAGCGCCUGCAUGGCAUGCAGGAGGUCGCCGGUUCGAUUCCAGUCGGGUCCACCA
rnacentral:tRNA from 1 species